UACGUAGGGUGCAAGCGUUAUCCGGAAUUAUUGGGCGUAAAGAGCUCGUAGGCGGUUUGUCACGUCUGCUGUGAAAACUGGAGGCUCAACCUCCAGCCUGCAGUGGGUACGGGCAGACUAGAGUGCGGUAGGGGAGAUUGGAAUUCCUGGUGUAGCGGUGGAAUGCGCAGAUAUCAGGAGGAACACCAGUGGCGAAGGCGG
rnacentral:rRNA from 1 species